rnacentral:rRNA from 1 species
UUCAGAGGGUGCGAGCGUUGUUCGGAAUUAUUGGGCGUAAAGGGCGCGUAGGCGGUGCGGUAAGUCACCUGUGAAAUCUCCUGGCUCAACUGGGAGCUUGCAGGCGAAACUGCCGUGCUGGAGUGUGGGAGAGGUGCGUGGAAUUCCUGGUGUAGCGGUGAAAUGCGUAGAUAUCAGGAGGAACACCUGUGGCGAAAGCGGCGCACUGGACCACAACUGACGCUGAGGCGCGAAAGCUAGGGGAGCAAACAGG